rnacentral:rRNA from 1 species
UCGAGAAUAUUCCGCAAUGGACGCAAGUCUGACGGAGCGACGUCGCGUGACUGAUGAAGUGCUUCGGUAUGUAAAAGUCUUUUAUGUGGGAGGAACGAUGACGUUACCACAUGAAUAAGGGGUUGCCAAACUCGUGCCAGCAGCAGCGGUAAAACGAGUGCCCCGAGCGUUAUCCGGAAUUAUUGGGCGUAAAGGGUGAGUAGGCGGUUGUGUUAGUCGAUUGUUAAAGCCUGGGGCUCAACCCCAGAAU